UCUGCCAACCAAAGGCUUAUUGUUCAUUUCCAGCACGUUAGCAUCAGCAGCUACUCAGUCCUGUGCCUUGCAUCGUUCAUCGCCUUUUGAAUUUAAUUUCUCAUCGCAAAUGAUAAAAAGAGACCAGUUAGCAUGGCAUUUAUCCCGAUCUAGCGGAUUCUCUUACCUGAAUGUCUGGGAAUGACGACGGUCCUGUCGGAGCUAAGCUAACCGCGGCUCACAGCUGACUCUCACGGGCUGUCGGGCUAAUCCACGGGGUUUCCCUCCAAUCAGACCAGCCCCAGGAGCCGAGACUAGGCUGGGCCACGUGACGUCAAAGGAGGUUGAUGUGGGGUCACUGUGUGACAACACUGAGGUUGACCAUAAAUCUGGAGAUCUACAGCUGGGCUGCCACCCAAAUGGUCUCAAAUGUACAUUUCAUGAUCCGAAAGAUCCACCUGGUUCUGAGGUUAUCAGGAUUGAGAACAUCUUGUCUGAAAAGCCCCGGGUGACUCAGGUAUAUGCAGAUGAUGGCAGUGUGAUCAUUGCUUCUUCAGUGGCCACCCCAUAAGGAGGAAAGCUGCUCAUUGGAACAGUUUAUCAGAAAGCUCUGAUAUGUGACCUUAAUUUAUGAAUACACUCACUUAUGGGGAUUUGGGGAGGAAUAAAUAUGAACUCAAGUGUAUGAAAGAAUUGAGUCUGAAUAAAAUCUAAUUUCAAAGGCAACGGGGCAGGGUAAAAUGUGAAAAAUCAAUCCACAUGAAAUAAAUUUGGCUUAACACAGACUGAUUGGGUUACAAACUCUACAAUCCUCUAGAUAUGUGAACUUUAAGUUAAAGAAGUAAAACCUGACGUACCUUAUGUUUUCAGUAGCAGUCUGACACAUUUUAUUUUGAGUUGAUGUGCAUUGAUCAUAAAUUAACAUUUACCAAUAUACUCUCAUUGAAAUUACCUACCAAGUAGUGAAAAUGUAUAAUAAUAACUAAUUGAUUUAGGUAUUUUUUUAGGUUUUCACAUAAUUUGCUAUUGCCCCACUUACAGUUUGGUUCAGGUGUGGACCUUCAUGCUAAGUCAUACUUUAAAAAACACUACGUUUCCUUACAAAUUGUACAAAUUCAUACACAUAACUAUCACCCUGUAAAAUAGCCAUGCUUUCUCAGAUUGGGUUGAUAUUUUCCAUAUUCUAAAUUAACCUUACAAACAAUA